CAUUAUUCAAGAUGGCGGUCGAAGCGAGUUGUCCAAUCUUUGUAGUCGAUGCAUUCACCGACAAACCUUUUGGCGGGAAUCCAGCUGCUGUAUGUCUCGUGGGAUCAAGGGACUUUUUGGUGAUGGCAGUCAAGGGGUUAUGGAAUUUUUCUCAAUUAAAAAAAGCAAUUAGUGAUGACAUCUUGCAAAAAGUUGCAAAAGAAAUUAACUUAUUGGAAACAGUCUUUAUCCUGGAAAAAAAUGAACCUGACACAUAUUCAAAAGGUUCCUGUUUUGGUCUUCGUUGGUUUACCCCAGCAUGUGAAGUGCCUUUAUGUGGACAUGCAACUUUAGCCUCAGCAGCUGUUUUGUUUGACUCCAUAGGUAAUGCAAAUGCUGAAGUAACAUUUGAAACAUUAAGUGGGAAGUUAAUGGCAAGACAAGAAGGUUCAUUAAUUUGUUUAAACUUCCCUUUGAACAGCUGUGAACCAUUACCUAAAGAAGAAGCAAUGAAGAGAUUAAUUAAAGCAGUUGUAGGCGACCUUAGGGUGAAAGACGUUGAAUACUCUAAGACAACCAAGAAUCUUCUCUUGUGUUUGGAGCCUUCAUUGACAAGAGAAGAUCUGGAAAACCUCUCCCCAGACUUCCAGGCUAUGUUGUCUGCCCCCUUGACUGAACUUGUCUGUGGUGUGAUUGUAACCCUGCAGGGGACUAAGGUGAAUGGGUGUGUGAAUGGUAGCGGUGAGGUGUAUGACUUUGUUUCACGUUACUUUGCUCCUUGGGUUGGAGUAUCUGAGGACCCAGUAACCGGCUCAGCACAUACAGUUCUUGCUUGUUAUUGGUCACAAAGACUGAAAAAGAACGAUUUCCAUGCUCGUCAGUGUUCAUCGCGUGGUGGAGAACUGAGAAUUGAUGUCAGGGAAGACAACAGAGUUGACAUUGCUGGACAAGCAGUCUUAGUUCUUCAAGGAAGCUUACGCUUAUGACAGUUAGUCAUGCUGGACGUUAGAGAUUGCUGAGAAAGACCUUAUCAGUAUUUUUCCCCAAAGGUGAAAGAUACCAUUGUCAGAAAGCUGUUCAAAUUCAUCACUUGUGACAAACUUCUUCUGGUCCCUCACAACUUGAAGGUUGGAGAAAAGCUGUUGAAGUUCUAAUAACAGAAAUGAGUUGAUAAAUUGCUGUAACUGGCCCAAAGAAACAAUUUUUUGAGACAAUAACAACAAAAUGAAGUUUAAAACCAAGUUUCUCACCUUUCUUUUCUUUAGACGACAUAAAUAACAACACCAUAUCGAAUCGUUCAACAUGACUAAGCUCUUCCAGAAUGUGGCAAGCAAGUUUUUCUUCUCCUGUUACAAUAACAAAGUGAUCAUAGGAUAAGAUUAUGACUCCACUCCGACUAAGGUUUCAAUCCUCAAUUGUUCUUGAAUUAAAAAGCUAAAGUUUGUCUUUACCUUGUGGAACAAUUUCCUGGCUGAGGGCUGCUAUAAUGCUACUUAACAUUGGAGCAUCAAGUUUAUUACUGAGAAC